AGCUGAGAAAAGAUGCUCAUCCUUCUACUUACGGUGGCGAUGGAGGAAAUGAUUGCAGCCAUUGGUGCCUCCCCGGGUUGCCUGAUACUUGGAACCAACUUCUCUACGCAGCACUUUCCAUGUGAAUUGAGUAAAGUGCAAACACACACCUUCAUUCUGUAAAUUACAUUCUUGGAGGUGCAAAGAAUCUGACAGUUUGCGUUGGGUGAAGGGUUAAGUGAAGACUAGAGACAUAAAGAAGAUGGAUUGUAAAGCGCCUUUAUAUUAUUUUGUAUGGGAGAAGCAAUAAUCUCAAAUUGUCUAGUGUUGUGUGACUAUAUAGAAACAUACUCAAUAAUAAUACACUAUUUUGGUAACUCUUGGCUUACUUUGAUUUGAAGAGCGAAGCUGUACUUAUGUAGAUCUCCAUUGAAAUAGAUUUGUGUAGACUUUUGACAUUCUCAUUAACAACACUAAUAUCGUAUCAAUGUACCAUGAACAUAUGUAAACUCACAUUCAAAAGCUACCUGAAGAGGAGUGCCAUACACUUAUAUUACUCACAUUCUCACUCAAUUCUCCACGUGGGAUCCUAACAGACCCUCUCACAUUCGGAUCUAGACAUCAGAACGUGAAGUUUGUGACACUAGAUAUCCAUCCACAUGUGGGCCACAGUCCGAGAAACUGAAAGUGAUGGCAUAACCACUUCCCAAACUACCUCAAAAGUGAAGAAUGUCACACACUCAACUCUAGUCUCCAUGUACGGUUCUAAUAACACGAAUCUAACCAAUAACAGUACUCUUACAUGAUAUUCAAUUGUACAAGAAGACCAUGGCGUCUAGAAUUACAGAAGAAAAAAAACUUGAUCUUGAAGAGCCCUAGAGGAGAGCAAUUUGAGAAUUCAAUUGAAAUCACCUCAAGGGAAAUUGAAUCCCUUUUCGAUGAGGAUCUGCACGCAGCUCGUCUUCUUCUCCUUCUUCUCAAUCUCUCUAUCUUCUUCUUCCUCAUCAGUCCUCCUCGAGUUCAGAACAAUGGCUUUCACAACAUCCCUCAAAGGAAUCUUAAGCUUCUUCGCCGGAGACUCCAAUCUUGAAGAUGAUGGCAAGAGAUUAGCCGAUUUCUCCAAAGGAAUUGAAUCAACAGGAGCCGUACGAUCCUCCUCUGAAUCAACGGUAUCAGGGCUUUCUGGGGGAGAGACUAAUCGAACCGCGUGGCUCUCCACCUCGUAACCCACCGAACCGUUCACACUAUCAGAAUCAUCGGAAUCUCGGCGAGGCGCGGUUCCGGCGUUUAACGGCGAGGCUCCGAGGACGGAGGGAUCGGAGUCUGGAGGAACGCCUCGUUGAGCGAAGCCGCAGCUCCGGAGGAAAAUCUCCUGAGACGCGGUUUCGUGGCAGUAAUCGAAGAAGGAACUGAUCUUGUUGUUGUUGUUGUUUCCUUCCAUCGUCUCUCUCUCUCUCUCUGCAAACGAACUGUUGUCUCGCAGGGAGGGAUGCUUCGAUUUACAACUUUCUAGGGUUUAAGGAGGGAAUGCUUUUUCCCGCUCACUUUAGUUUCGAGGCGGUCUGCUACCAAACGCGUUUAUUCAUUGAACGCACACCAAACGCUUUCAUUCCAUGUAAUACUCGAACUGAAAUCAGCCAAAAAAACAUUUUUCCAGUUGGGUUUAGAUCUGAACAUUUUACGGUAGGUUAUAUUACUCGGGUUAUAUAUUUGUGACUAUUCAGAUAUAGUUUCUAUUAUUCUUAAUAUUAUUUUAGGUUUUAUUUCCAGUUUUUCAGGUACAUUUUAUAUCUUAAAUGUUUUUAAGAGUUUAAAUAAAUUUUAGAUAUUCAAAUACAUUUCUAGCAUUAUGGGUUCUAAACACCCGAAACUAAUCUGAUAAAAAAAAGUUAGGAUAUUAGCGGUUCUAAAAAUUGAAACCCAAAUCAAGAACAACCUUGAAAGCCAAUCAAAACACAUGCAUAUCCCAUAUGAGUCCAAAACUCUGACUGGCAUUUUCAAACUAUACUUUAUUUUUCAUUCUAAAAUAAAAUUUAGAUUCUUUAGAAGAAAAAUAUUCUAAUAGUACUUUAUUUUUUGCUCUAUAAUAGAGUAAAAAGUGAGUUUAUUCUAUAUAUAGAAAAAAAUGUUUUUAUUUGUUUAUUGCUCUAAUUUUUACUAUAAAAUAAAAUACUAUUGGAAUAUAAUUCAACUCUAUUAUAGAAUUAAUCUAUUUUAGAGUGAAAAAUAAAGUAAACCAUUGGAAAUGGUUUUAAAUCCAAAAAACUUAGAUCCGAUUAGAUUAGAACCGACUCAGACUUGAUCCAAAAAACCUAAAUGUCCAGGCGUGGCUAAGACUGAAACAUUUGUUUCUAUGAUUCAAUGUUUAAACUGAAAUUGAGAUAGUGAGAAACAAACUUUUUGUUCUGAAAACAAAAAGUGACUGCAAAGUUAUCCCUUUCACCUAUCUUCUUCCAUUAGGACAUUUGUUCUAACUCCACAAAUAUGUGUAUAAAAGCUUGAACCCAUCAGCAAGCUUCUUCACAAAAACCCAAAACAUAAGAUUUUUGUUUACUAGAAAAAAGAUGGGUUUCAACUUCAUCUCUCUCCUUUUUCUUCCACUUCUAUCAGUCACAAUCUUGUCGGGACUCGAGCAGGCUUUGGCUUCCGACAACACACUCCUCAAGAACACCAACCACCGCAACAGCACGGCGGACGGUGGGAUGUCGUCGCUGAGAGGGAAGAAGCAGAGGAGUGGAUGUAACUUGUUCCAAGGCCGAUGGGUCUUCGAUGCUUCUUAUCCUUUCUAUGAUUCGUUCUCGUGUCCAUUCAUCGACGGCGAGUUUGACUGCCUCAAGUUCGGUCGACCAGACAAACAGUUCCUCAAGUACUCAUGGCAACCUGAAUCUUGCACCAUCCCAAGGUUUCUAUUUAACUAUUCCCUUAUAUGUCCAACGUUUUUAACGAAACAAUAAAAUUGAGCUAACCAUAUAGUUAACAAAAAUUUGAUUGGUGGGUAUGUAUAAAAUUUCAUUCCAUGCAUUGUUUAUAACCUUUUUUCUAUUUAGUACGAAUUUGUUUAGCUAAAAAAUUAUAAGUUGAAUAAACGUAAUUUCCUAUGUCGUACGUUAUGUUUUGUAAACUUAUUAGAAGUUAGUGUUGAUAUGUAUAUAUGUACUUUGUUUGGUAAACCGUAAACGUGGUUGUAGAGCACCGCAUUGAAGAUAUUCUCUUCACAAUGAAAACGAGUAUUUACAUUAAUGUUAUACAUAAAAGAAGUUAUCAAGUGGAUUGUUUUGUAAGAAUUGUCUAAAGUGGCAACAAGCUGUGAUAAAUUAUAGUAAAGUAUAAAUGCAUGAUGAUGAUCAAUGUUAAUUACUUAAUUUUGUUUAAUCACGUAAUUAGAUUCGACGGUGCGGCGUUUCUGAGGAGAUUGAGAGGGAAGCGAGUCAUGUUCGUGGGAGACUCACUGAGUCUGAACAUGUGGGAAUCGUUGGGUUGUAUGAUACAUGCGUCGGUACCAAAAACCAAGACAACUUUUGUUAAGGGAACCCCACUCUCUACUAUCACUUUCCAGGUCUCUUUCUUUUCUUAAAUAAAAUUAUAAAACUGUGUUCUCCGGAUAAAUACAAAUCUAGUUAUCAAUCCUCACGAGGAAUAGUUGUCAUUAACGAAAAUGAAUUGGCUUGUCAUAAAUACUGAAUGCUUAUUAGUCACGGACUAUUUAAUAUAUUCGUAUUUAGAAAAGAGAUGAAAAGGCUGUAUGGUGCUAAUAAUGCUUAUUAUCAUAUUGUUGCUAGUGUUCGAUCACACCCACUUGCCUACAUCCCUUUAAAGUUUAUUUGAUUUUCAGUCUACAAUUCUACAUUAUGAGAAAAGUGACACAUACAUGAGUAUUAAUACGUCUAGAAGAAGAUAUUUGAUAGAAACAUAUAAAGUUUUCCAUUUAGUGAAAAUUUUGAUUUGUUAUUGUUCAUUCGAAAGCUAUUUUUCAUUUUAACCAUAAAUGUGCAAAGUUCUCUGUCAUUCAUGAAACCAAAAACAAUGUGAAAUGACAUGUCUUCUUCACUUGAUGUGGACCUCCAAACUUUUUUCUUUUAUUUGUUUAAAAUUUAAAUAAUGUUUACUUUUUAUGUAUUUACCACUGUGCCAAAAUUUUGUUUUUAUAUUCUUGAUACCAUAGAUAAUAAUAAAAACAAAUAUAAAGGACGUAAUACGUAAAGGAAGUACACUAACAACAACUCCAACAGUCCAGCUUGUUCUUUACUUUUCCCUCUGACAAUUUUCUACUGUUCUCUUUGUUCUGCAAAACCUUUUUUUCCUUUCAUUUAAUAAUUUUCUUAUUUUUAAUGGAAAUAGAUAUUUUGAAAACCCCUGAUUUUAUUUCAUUUUAUGAAAAACAGGAAUAUGGAGUGACGUUACACCUAUAUAGAACAACAUACAUAGUGGAUAUAUCCAAAGAGAAAAUAGGGCGUGUGCUUAACCUUGGAGCCAUUGAUGGAGGUGCUGAUGCUUGGAAAAACAUGGACGUCCUUGUCUUUAACUCUUGGCAUUGGUGGACUCACAAAGGCCAAUCUCAAGGGUCAGUACCAAUGAUUAACCACAUCUUUAAUUUAAACCCAAUAUAUAUUAUCCUUUGUACAACUUAAUGUUGAAUCUUUCUUCUUCUUUUUUCUUGAUGUUUAAUUUAAAUUUAGGUGGGAUUAUAUUAGAGUUGGGUCUUCUUUGGUAAGAGACAUGAACCGUCUUGACGCUUUCUACAAAGGACUUACCACUUGGGGUCGAUGGGUUGAUCAAAACGUCGAUACCACCAAGACCAAAGUUUUCUUCCAAGGCAUUUCUCCCACUCACUACGAGUAAGUCCAAUUACAUUGCGACUGUUGCCAAACGUUAUUUUGCGUAUUCGUUAUGUAAAAUGCACACGCAAAACACAAACAAACAAUCAAGAUGCAUUUGUGUAUUUUACCAAAAAAAAAAAGAUGCAUUUGUGUACAAUUAUCUAUGGUUUGAGAAAAUAGCGUUCAAACACAAACUAAAUCGGUUUUGUGUUUCUUGUGGAUGACAGGGGACGAGAAUGGAACGAGCCGAGAAAGAGUUGUAAUGGGCAAAUGCAGCCGUUGGAUGGAUCAAAUUACCCAAGUGGCCAGCCUCCAUCUGCAGGAGUUGUGUCCAAAGUGUUGAGUUCGAUGAAAAAACGUGUGUUCUUGCUAGAUAUCACCACUUUGUCUCAGCUGAGAAAAGAUGCUCAUCCUUCUACUUACGGUGGCGAUGGAGGAAAUGAUUGCAGCCAUUGGUGCCUCCCCGGGUUGCCUGAUACUUGGAACCAACUUCUCUACGCAGCACUUUCCAUGUGAAUUGAGUAAAGUGCAAACACACACCUUCAUUCUGUAAAUUACAUUCUUGGAGGUGCAAAGAAUCUGACAGUUUGCGUUGGGUGAAGGGUUAAGUGAAGACUAGAGACAUAAAGAAGAUGGAUUGUAAAGCGCCUUUAUAUUAUUUUGUAUGGGAGAAG
rnacentral:lncRNA from 1 species